GUAAACAUAGUUUAAAAAAAACACUAAGCUGUGGACCUAGUGACAGGGCCUACCAGCCCUUGUUUACC
rnacentral:tRNA from 1 species